CCCAUGGCUCCCCUGAGGUUUUUCAGAACCAGCCACUCCCACCCCCAGUCUGCUGUCUCACCCUCCCUGGCCCAGCCUGGUGAGACAGGCAGGGAGGAGUUUCCAGGCAGGAAAGCGCUGAGUCACUCACCAACACAUCUGGUCUCAGAUCUUGAUACCCAGCUGGAAGGGGCAGGAAGGAAGAAGGCUCCUCCCCCACGAGCUCUCCU
rnacentral:lncRNA from 1 species